CGUCGCUCCCAAGACGACGAUUCAGGCAAAAUCGCUCCCCAAGAUGACGAUUCAUCACUCUUUCUACUCGAAUCAUCAAUAUAUUAAAGCUCAAUUACUUCCACCGCUCCAUCGUCAUCUUCUUUAAUCCAGCUUCCAUCGUCAUCUUCUUCAAUCUUCCAAGUUCUCGAAUCUUUGGUUCACACUGCUCAUUUUGGACUAAUUUUGGCGUGGUAGUAUUGUGCUUUGGUGAGUGGUUGCUAGGGUUCUUGAAGGAGAAAGCUAAUGCGUUGGAUGAGACGGAUGCUAUGGUGGUUUUUGGAGGAAUAAAUUGGGUGAUGAAAUAUGGGAACUCAAAAGGUCUGAUGGAAGGAGGGCCAUGUAUUUCUCCAGUUAGGGAUUGAAGUUGUAUUCCCGAUCAGUUGUAUCUUGGAAGCAGUACAAGAGUUGUUCACUUUCACCCAAUUAUCAUUUAAGAAACCAAUCAGAUUUUUUAAAAUUGACGGGGAUGGUUCUCUCACAGUUUUUUAAUACCCAAUUGUGUGAUGUUAGUUACAGUCUUAUUUCAGCCUUAGGGGUCCUGUUAUGUAUUUAAAUCUGUGCCAUUAAGG